UGAGGAAUAUUGGACAAUGGGUUAGCGCCUGAUCCAGCCAUCCCGCGUGAAGGACGACGGCCCUAUGGGUUGUAAACUUCUUUUGUACAGGGAUAAACCUACCCUCGUGAGGGUAGCUGAAGGUACUGUACGAAUAAGCACCGGCUAACUCCGUG
rnacentral:rRNA from 1 species